rnacentral:snoRNA from 1 species
AGCACUUGUGUGUAUUUUUGUUUAACUUGUGGACAAAGAUUUAUAGACAGGGGAAAAAACUAAAUCCUCUUUUGCAACCCAGAACUCAUGAAACAUAUAUGCCUCUCAAUAAAUGUGAAUGUAUAUA